UGCUAAUGGGCGAUUUUCUGUCCGGUGAGCGGUGACUUCUUUUUACUUUUACAGAACUGGUUGCCUCCUGGGUAUAAAUAUCACUUCUGCACCUAUCGUUUGUGCACUACACAAGGUGAUUCACACCUGGACCACACAAGUUUUGAGGCAUCACUAAGAAUUGCGUUGACAGAGAUUUGUGAAGUAAAAGAAUGGGUGAAAAAGCUUAGUGAAUCAUCAGGAGUGAGUUGGAGAGUGGCAGUGACAAAACCAAAUAAGGGACAACGUGUGCUUUAUAAGUCCAGAGAGAUUAUCCCUGUGAUGGACUGGCCAUCUGUAGGCUCCAGUAUUCGUACAGCCCUAGGACAAGUGAGAUGGAUGGAUGGAUGGAUUUUUGUAUGCACAGGGAGUCCGAAAUCAUAUGAUUCACACACAGAUCUAAUCUCACCAUCAUCUAGUCCAUCUGGGAUUGCAUAAAGAGAAAAAAAAUGGAGAGAGACUAAAUCCUG
rnacentral:lncRNA from 1 species